GAUGAACGCUAGCUACAGGCUUAACACAUGCAAGUCGAGGGGCAGCACAGAGAUAGCUUGCUAUCUUGGGUGGCGACCGGCGCACGGGUGAGUAACGCGUAUCCAACCUGCCCAUUACUCUGGGAUAGCCUUGCGAAAGUAAGAUUAAUACCGGAUGUUGUUAAAAACCCGCAUGAGUUUUUAACCAAAGAUUUAUUGGUAAUGGAUGGGGAUGCGUGACAUUAGGUAGUAGGUGAGGUAACGGCUCACCUAGCCGACGAUGUCUAGGGGUUCUGAGAGGAAGGUACCCCACACUGGAACUGAGACACGGUCCAGACUCCUACGGGAGGCAGCAGUGAGGAAUAUUGGUCAAUGGACGAGAGUCUGAACCAGCCAAGUAGCGUGCAGGAUGACGGCCCUCUGGGUUGUAAACUGCUUUUAGCUGGGAAUAAAAAGAGGGACGUGUCCCUAAUUGUAUGUACCAUCAGAAAAAGGACCGGCUAAUUCCGUGCCAGCCGCCGCCGUAACAC
rnacentral:rRNA from 1 species